GCGCCUGUAGCUCAAUCGGAUAGAGCGGUGGACUUCGAAUCCACAGGCUGGGGGUUCGAUUCCCUCCAGGCGCG
rnacentral:tRNA from 1 species